CAACACCUAAAACAACAUAUCCAGCAGGCGGCUCCCCUGGGUCAACCCGCGGAGGGUCACUUUGGGAAACCACUUUAAAAAAACUAACCGCUGGUUUUUUCUUCCUGUCUAAGCCAUGUCCCAGUAUCAACGUUCAAACUAAAGACUUUGAAAGCAUCGAAAAGAAAAUGGCAAGAAAGCAAGAUAGAUAUCUUGUAUUUGCAUAAGAAUUCUAGGCUACUUGUGUUGUCCAGUAUUUCGACGUCUCCAUCAUUUUCCAUUUACUGAACAAGAUUGUGAUGAAUUACAAGCCCACUGGCAGCAACCAGACGCCCCAAGGAUUUAAGGCAAGGCGGGCUUUAUAGUUGUCAUUGCUUUUGGGUGUUUGCUUCUGGUUGCUAUACCAAAUUGAGCACUCAAACAGUAAGGGGAAGGACUAUGGUGGAGGUCUACAAAGCAAGCUCAGGGAACAAAAUGCUGUUCUUGUUUUGGGUCGGAAAGGGAAUGCAGCAUGGUCAAGUGAUGGAGGUGUGUCCAACUUAGAAGAUGUCAAUCUUGUGGGAGAAGAUAAAAUGAAAGAAGAUGGUGGAGGUGGAGAUGAUGAAUUAGAUGGAAUUUUAGAAGAAAAAAUUUUCCAGAAGGAACUGGAGCAACCGGAGAUGGUGUCUCUAAAUGAUUUAAUAAAUAAUUCUGAUGUUGAAGGAUUUUAUUCCAAGAAAGGAUAUGAUGACUCAUGGGGAAGUAGUGAGCUAGGAGGUGAGAAGAGGCUUGAGAUUGAUGAUGAAAGAGAUGGCAAGGACCCGAAAAUAGAAGUUAAGCAGAUAGGUGGAAAGGAUUAAAAAAGACAAGGUAAGGAAUCAGAAAGGGUUAAGGAAAUUGCUGAUGAUUCUAU